CCAAUAGCGUAUAUUAAAGUUGUUGCAGUUAAAAAGCUCGUAGUUGAAUUUCGGGAUCAACACGUCGGUCGUGCCUUCGGUAUGAACUGGCGUCGUUGGUUUCUCCCUUCUGACGAACCAAGAUGUCAUUAGGUUGGUGUUUUGGGGAGUUAGGACUGCUACUUUGAAAAAAUUAGAGUGUUUAAAGCAGGCAAACGCUUGAAUACAUUAGCAGGGAAUAAUGAAAUAGGACGUUCGAUCCUAUUUCGUUGGUUUCUAGGAUCAACGUAAUGAUUAAUAGGGAUAGUUGGGGGCAUUAGUAUUCAAUUGUCAGAGGUGAAAUUCUUGGAUUUAUUGAAGACUAACUACUGCGAAAGCAUUUGCCAAGGAUGUUUUCAUUAAUCAAGAACGAAAGUUAGGGGAUCGAAGACGAUCAGAUACCGUCGUAGUCUUAACCAUAAACUAUGCCGACUAGGGAUCGGAUGAUGUUAAUUUUUUAAUGACUCAUUCGGCGCCUUACG
rnacentral:rRNA from 1 species